GCCCAUUCCACUAUCAUCCCCAAGGUCUUGGCCAUGUCUGGAGACCCCAAAUACCUGCUCCACAUGACCAUGCUCUUCUGUAUCAAUAUGCUGUCCGAAGUCUGUGGGCAGGGCAUCAUGAUCAAGCAUACGCUGCCCACUCUCCUGUGUAUGGCUGGAGACCCGGUUGCCAAUGUCCACUUCAAUGUGGACAAGUCCCUGCAGAAGAUAGGGCCCAUCCUGGACAAUAGCACCCUGCAGAGUGAAGUCAAGCCCAUUUUAGAGAAGCUGACCCAGGACCAGGAUGUGGACGUCAAGUACUCUGCACAGGAGGCUCUGACUGUUCUGUCUCUCACCUGACACUGGAUGAGGAGCCAACUCUGGUGUCCACCCUACAACCUAACAACCUCCCCAAGUUCUUCCUCAGGGAGGCACUGAGGGCACUUGGCUGUUACUCCCUGUGCAUAGUCUGA